rnacentral:rRNA from 1 species
AUUGAACGCUGGCGGCAGGCCUAACACAUGCAAGUCGAGCGAGCGGCGGACGGGUGCGUAAUGUCUGGGAAAAUGCCUGAUGGAGGGGGAUAACUACUGGAAACGGUAGCUAAUACCGCAUACCAUCAGAUGUGCCCAGAUGGGAUUAGCUGGUGGGUGGGGUAACGGCUCACCUAGGCGACGAUCCCUAGCUGGUCUGAGAGGAUGACCAGCCCCACUGGGACUGAUACACGGGCCAGACUCCUACGGGGGGCAGCAGUGGGGAAUUUUGCACAAUGGGCGCAAGCCUGAUACAGCCAUGCCGCGUGUGUGAAGAAGGCCUUCUGGUUGUAAAUCACUUUCAGCGGGGGGGCGUUACCCGCAGAAGAAGCACCGGCUAACUCCGUGCCAGCAGCCGCGGUAAUAC